rnacentral:rRNA from 1 species
GAUGAACGCUGGCGGCGUGCCUAACACAUGCAAGUCGAGCGAAGCACCUUACUUGAUUUCUUCGGGAUGAAAGUAUUGUGACUGAGCGGCGGACGGGUGAGUAACGCGUGGAUAACCUGCCUCAUACAGGGGGAUAACAGUUAGAAAUGACUGCUAAUACCGCAUAAGCGCACAGAGCUGCAUGGCUCGGUGUGAAAAACUCCGGUGGUAUAAGAUGGACCCGCGUUGGAUUAGCUGGUUGGUGAGGUAACGGCCCACCAAGGCGACGAUCCAUAGCCGGCCUGAGAGGGUGAACGGCCACAUUGGGACUGAGACACGGCCCAG